rnacentral:rRNA from 1 species
GACGAACGCUGGCGGCGUGCUUAACACAUGCAAGUCGAACGGUAAGGCCCUUCGGGGUACACGAGUGGCGAACGGGUGAGUAACACGUGGGUGAUCUGCCCUGCACUUCGGGAUAAGCCUGGGAAACUGGGUCUAAUACCGGAUAGGACCACUGCCUGCAUGGGUGGUGGUGGAAAGCUUUUGCGGUGUGGGAUGGGCCCGCGGCCUAUCAGCUUGUUGGUGGGGUGAUGGCCUACCAAGGCGACGACGGGUAGCCGGCCUGAGAGGGCGACCGGCCAUACUGGGACUGAGAUACGGCCCAGACUCCUACGGGAGGCAGCAGUGGGGAAUAUUGCACAAUGGGCGCAAGCCUGAUGCAGCGACGCCGCGUGGGGGAUGACGGCCUUCGGGUUGUAAACCUCUUUCAGCACCGACGAAGCGCAAGUGACGGUAGGUGCAGAAGAAGGACCGGCCAACUACGUGCCAGCAGCCGCCGUAACAC